CAAAUUUAUGCUUGAAUUCUGGCCAUCACAUGCUACAUAUUCUACACAGUGCCUUCAGGCAAAAAUUUUUAUAAUCACAAAUCUUACUCACUGCCCCUCCCUUCUACCAACGGUUGGCUCUCCACCAGUCUCUGCCUGUUUGUGUUCUCUCUAGUCCCUUCAAAUUGUGUGUUUUAAAAAAUUUUAGGGGCGCCUGGGUGGCUCAGUGGGUUGGGCGUCCGACUUCAGCUCAGGUCACGAUCUCGUGGUCCGUGAGUUCGAGCCCCGCGUCGGGCUCUGGGCUGAUGGCUCAGAGCCUGGAGCCUGCUUCCGAUUCUGUGUCUCCCUCUCUCUCUGCCCCUCCCCCGUUCAUGCUCUGUCUCUGUCUCAAAAAUAAAUAAAACGUUAAAAAAAUUUUUUUUUUAAAUUUUCUCCAGAGUCUAUCAUUAUUAAAAUACAAUACAGGCUACUUGACCACUAUUGAGAAAAAAACAAAAAACCUUCAACUUUUGUAAAACACUCAAGGAAAGGGGUGCCUGGGUGGCUCAGUCGGUUGAGCAUCCGACUUUGGCUCAGGUCAUGGUUUCAUGGUUCCUGAGUUUGAGCCCUGUGUUGGGCUCACUGCUGUCAGUGCGGAUCCUCUGUCCUGCCCUCCACCCCUCCCCCACUCACUCUUUCAAAAAUAAAUAAAACAUUUUGAAAAAAACCACUCAAGUGAAGAUGUUGACUUGUCUGAAAUUCACAGGGAUGAUAAAAAGUAGCAAUAUGCAUCUAGUAUUCACUGACAUAUUGAUGGUGUUUAAAGCCAUGAGAAGAGAAGGGACCACUAAAAGGUGAGCAUAAACAGGAAAGGGACCAAGAAUAGAAAGAGAGAGGUUUUGGGGUUUUGGGUUUUUUUUUUUGGUUUUUUUUUUUUUUGCUUUUUUGUUUUUUAUUAAAUAGUUAAUGUAAUCCUCUUGAAAUUAGCAGUAAUUACAGAUGCCAUUUAUUGAACCUGGCACUGAGGUGUUCCAUGCAUCUCACUGAAUUCAUCCAACAGUAUCACAAGACAAACUGAGGCUGACAAGGGAAGUGCACGCAAAGAGGAACUUUAGGAAGAGAUGAGCAGAAGGGAACAUUAAGAAUGGAUGAGAACAGCAGAGUGAAGGAAACUGCUGAGGCAGAGCACAGUUUACAGGUGUGGGUGCACAUAGGAGUGGAAAAGACUGAAGGGCAACAAGGGUGAAGGCGGACAGGAGAGGAAGGGCCUUCAGGGUAUGCAUCCAACAUGGACUUUGUGGCAUGACCAGCAUCCAAAUGGAAGAAGUGAAAAAUGUUUCCCAAGACCUCUAGGACCCCAUUCGUUUGCAUGAUCGGUGAGUGGGCUCACCUCCUGGCUGUGGACAAUAUCUCCGGAUCCUUUCAAGGAUACGGGCUCAAGCCACAUGAAAGGAAGAAAAUCUACAAAUCAAGUCAAAGGCUUUUUGUCUGCAAAGCCCCUGUUCUGCCCUCCACACAAUGCAGCCUCCCAGACCCCAGAGUCAUAAUAUAAGCCAAGAGUGACCGGGACGUAGUCUCUUGAGGACCUACUGAAGGAGGAUUUGAUGUGGAGACCAGGUGAGUGAAGAAAAGUGUUGUUUCUUUCUUUCUUUUUUUUCUUUAAUUAUAGUGUUGUAAUUUUAUUUUUUAAGUUUAUUUACUUUGAGAGAGUGCCUGCAUGUGCACACACACAUAUGCUCAGGGGAGGGGGAGAGAGAGAGAGAAUCCCAAGCAGAGCUCGACACAGGGCUCAAUCUCAUUGAACUGAGAUCACUUGAUCGCUUGAUCAAGUCAAGAGUUGGAUGCUUAACUGACUGAGUCACCCAGGCACCCCGGAAGUGCUGCUUCUGAGAAGGAGGAAGGGAAGAUGACAGGAAGAUGGGGUGAGCAAGGAGAAAAGAGGAUGUGGUAGAAAAAAAUCACACUUAAUGUUCAGUGAGCGCUUCUUAUGUGUCAGACACUGUCUUGAAUGCUUUCCUUCUAUUAAUUUCAUUUUUGGGGCAUGGAAACAGACGCCCAAGAUCACACGGCUGGUUAAUGGCAGGCAGCGCACGUCCAGAGCCCAAAACUUAACCGGUGUUGUGCACAGGGAAAGAACGGGGAUAGAAAGAGGCACCGCUCUUCUGAUGGGGGCUAAAAAAGAAGAGGCUGGACGAAGUUAGAGCUUCUAAAGCCAAGGCCCUGUUCUAUUGGGCUGGGCUCCUCCUCAGAAUUACACAAAAGUUCUGGGAUCUUCUGGACCCCACGACACAAAGAAAACGUCUCUGAUAAUCCAUCUGUGCCUAAAACCACUGUGAUGGUGCACGAGUUAAGAAUGUGUGACCUACACGUAGGAGAAUCUCUGAGUGAUGGUGCCUUCGGCUACAAAGUUAUGUAGUUAUUUCAUAUAAUAAGAAGCCUGGAGGCAGGCAGUCCCUGGAGUGGUGUCAUCAGCUUCCUGAUGUCUCCAAGAAAUCAGGACCUUGGCAUCCUUACGUUUUAUCAUCCUCAGUGUAUGGACUUUUUAGCCUUGGGCUUGUUUCCUCGUGGUUACAGAAUGGCUGCCAGAGCUGCAGAGCUCACAAAACCAUCUUCAGGGCAGAUGGCAGGUAC